UGGGGAAUAUUGGGCAAUGGGCGAAAGCCUGACCCAGCCACGCCGCGUGAGCGAUGAAGGCCUUCGGGUCGUAAAGCUCUGUGGGGAGGGACGAACAAAUCUGGGGCUAAUCACCCGGGUCCUGACGGUACCUCCUUAGCAAGCACCGGCUAACCCUGUGCCAGCAGCCGCGGUAAUACAGGGGGUGCAAACGUUGCUCGGAAUCAUUGGGCGUAAAGCGCACGUAGGCGGUUCGUUAUGUCGGAUGUGAAAGCCCUUGGCUUAACCGAGGAAGUGCAUCCGAAACUGGCGAGCUAGAGUACGAAAGAGGAUCGCGGAAUUCCCGGUGUAGAGGUGAAAUUCGUAGAUAUCGGGAGGAACACCGGUGGCGAAGGCGGCGAUCUGGGUCGAUACUGACGCUGAGGUGCGAAAGCGUGGGGAGCAAAC
rnacentral:rRNA from 1 species